GUUCGUGCCCGACCCCUGCGCCUGGCGGACGACUGCGAAAGGAGUCAUCGAAAAAGAAACAAAACGCACCAGAAGGGUGAUAAAAGCCUUGACAAGAACUAACGAGAUGCACCUGCCUCCUCCGAAGUAUGAAGUUGCUAUCGGGCAAGAAAAUCCAGCAUUUGAAAGACCCGAUGAUAACUGAGACUUGAGCAUCCUUGCAGAAGACUGAAGAAUGCUCAAAAGGGGGGAAUUGUUGCCAUUUGAUUCAAUAAACUGUAUUAAGAUAGUAGUGAACCUUAAUAAUUGACAUUAAUUGACAUUAGUAGUAGUCAUGCUAAGGCUUGGUAGGCCGCAUGUAACCUGCAGAUGAACUAUUAUAGCAGAUUUUGUAAUGUAAGCAGUGUAGUUAAGAGAUAAUCACUUAUCUUAAGGAGUGUAUCCAUUUAUCUAGGGAAUGUACCUUUUGGCAGAAACUUAAAUGUCAGAGAGAUUAUUGUACCAGGUAGUGAGAAUGAAGUAAGAAUUUGUUAUGAUGAAGAAAUCAUGUAAAGAAACACAUAAAAACCCUGUGAAUUUUCUGUGAGAUGGGGCUCUGUCUUUGGACGCUAGUCCACAGGCUCCCGGGCCCUCAAUAAAGCACCGCAUAAACGAC